GACGAACGCUGGCGGCGUGCUUAACACAUGCAAGUCGAACGGAAAGGCCCUGCUUUUGUGCGGUGCUCGAGUGGCGAACGGGUGAGUAACACGUGAGUAACCUGCCCUUGACUUUGGGAUAACUUCAGGAAACUGGGGCUCAUCCCGGCUAGGAGCUCCUGCUGCAUGGUGGGGGUUGGAAAGUUUCGGCGGUUGGGGAUGGACUCGCGGCUUAUCAGCUUGUUGGUGGGGUAGUGGCUUACCAAGGCUUUGACGGGUAGCCGGCCUGAGAGGGUGACCGGCCACAUUGGGACUGAGAUACGGCCCAGACUCCUACGGGAGGCAGCAGUGGGGAAUAUUGCACAAUGGGCGGAAGCCUGAUGCAGCAACGCCGCGUGCGGGAUGACGGCCUUCGGGUUGUAAACCGCUUUCGCCUGUGACGAAGCGUGAGUGACGGUAAUGGGUAAAGAAGCACCGGCUAACUACGUG
rnacentral:rRNA from 1 species